rnacentral:rRNA from 1 species
GACGAACGCUGGCGGCGUGCCUAAUACAUGCAAGUAGAACGCACAGUUUAUACCGUUGCUUGCUACACCAUAGACUGUGAGUUGCGAACGGGUGAGUAACGCGUCGGUAACCUGCCUGGUAGCUUGGGAUAACUAUUGGUAACGAUAGCUAAUACCUCAUAAUAUUUAUUAUUGCAUGAUAAUUUAUUGAGAGAUGCUAUUGCAUCACUACCAGUUGGCCUUGCGUUGUAGUAGCUAGUAGGUGAGGUAACGGCUCACCUAGGCGAGGAUACAUUGCCGACCGGAGAGGCGGAUCGGCCGCAUGGGGACGGAGACGCGGCCCAGACUCCUGAGGGAGGCAGCAGUAGGGAAUCGGCGGCAAUGGACGAAAGUCUGACCGAGCAACGGCGCGUGAGUGAAGAAGGUUUUCGGAUCGUAAAGCUCUGUUGUAAGAUAAGAACGGGUGUGGGCGUGGAAAGUGCACAAUGUAAGGGUAUGGUUACAGAAAGGGCCGCCUACCACCGU